rnacentral:rRNA from 1 species
UCAGCUCGUGUCGUGAGAUGUUGGGUUAAGUCCCGCAACGAGCGCAACCCUUAUCUUUAAUUGCCAGCAUUCAGUUGGGCACUUUAAAGAGACUGCCGGUGUUAAACCGGGAGGAAGGUGGGAUGACGUCAAGUCCUCAUGGCCUUUAUGCUUAGGGCUACACACGUGCUACAAUGGGUGGUACAAAGAGAAGCCAACUCGCGAGAGCGCCGCCAAUCUCAAAAAGCCAUCCUCAGUUCGGAUUGGAGUCUGCAACUCGACUCCAUGAAGUUGGAAUCGCUAGUAAUCGCGGAUCAGCAUGCCGCGGUGAAUACGUUCCCGGGCCUU